rnacentral:rRNA from 1 species
ACAGUGGACGCGAGCAUCUUUGUUGUAAGUGUUUAAGAGCGUACGGUGGAUGCCUUGGCACCAGGAGCCGAUGAAGGACGUAGGAGGCUGCGAUAAGCCUCGGGGAGCUGUCAACCGAGCUGAGAUCCGAGGAUGUCCGAAUGGGGAAACCCAGCCACAGUGAUGUGUGGUUACCCGCGCCUGAAUAUAUAGGGCGUGUGGAGGGAACGUGGGGAAGUGAAACAUCUCAGUACCCACAGGAAGAGAAAACAACAUGUGAUUCCGUGAGUAGUGGCGAGCGAAAGCGGAAGAGGCUAAACCAUGGGUGUGUGAUAGCCGGCGGGCGUUGCAUUCGUGGGGUUGUGGGAUCCGUCUUGUCAAUUCUGCCGGAUUGGCCGACAGUGAGAAAUUAUCGUGUUAGUCGAAGUGGUCUGGAACGGCCUGUCGUAGAGGGUGAGAGUCCCGUAGACGAAAACAUGGUGACUGUCGUGACGGACACCCGAGUAGCAGCGGCCCGUGAAAUCUGCUGUGAAUCUGUCGGGACCACCCGAUAAGCCUGAAUACUCCCUGGUGACCGAUAGCGGACUAGUACCGUGAGGGAAAGGUGAAAAGUACCCCGGGAGGGGUGAAAUAGUACCUGAACCGUGCGCUUACAAUCCGUCAGAGCCUGCGCACUUUUGGUGGGUGGGUGAUGGCGUGCCUUUUGAAGAAUGAGCCUGCGAGUUAGCGCCAUGUCGCGAGGUUAACCCGUGUGGGGUAGCCGUAGCGAAAGCGAGUCCGAAUAGGGCGUU